GGCCAGAUAGCUCAGAUGGUAGAGCAGGGGAUUGAAAAUCCCCGUGUCGGCGGUUCGAUCCCGUCUCUGGCCACCA
rnacentral:tRNA from 1 species